UACGUAGGGUGCAAGCGUUGUCCGGAAUCAUUGGGCGUAAAGCGCGCGUAGGUGGUCCUGUAAGUCCGCUGUGAAAGUCAAAGGCUCAACCUUUGAAAGCCGGUGGAUACUGCAUGACUAGAGUACGGAAGAGGCGAGUGGAAUUCCUGGUGUAGCGGUGGAAUGCGCAGAUAUCAGGAGGAACACCAAUAGCGAAGGCAGCUCGCUGGGACGUUACUGACACUGAGGCGCGAAAGCGUGGGGAGCGAACAGG
rnacentral:rRNA from 1 species